UCCCUUUUAUCCUGCGGGAGGCCGCUGCUAGUAGGAUACGAGUAAGGCAUGCAAGUCCAGGGGGCCGCAAGGUCACCGGCAGACUGCUCAGUAACACGUCGAUAAUGUGCCCCACGGUUCGGGAUACCCUCGGGAAACUGAGGUUAAACCCGGGUAUGGAGUUCCAACUGGAAUGUGGUUCUCUUGAAACGCAAGGCCGUGGGAUCAGUUGGCGGCCGAUUAGGUAGUUGGUGGGGUAAUGGCCCACCAAGCCAAAGAUCGGUAGGGGCCCUGGAAGGGGUCGCCCCGAGAAGGGCACUGAGAUACUGGCCCUAGCCCCACGGGGUGCAGCAGCUACGAAACCUUUACACUACGCGAAAGCGUGAUAAGGGUAUCCUACGUGCCCAUACUUAGUAUGGGCUUUUGUCAAGAGUAAAAACCUUGGCGAAUAAGUGGUGGGCAAGACUGGUGCCAGCAGCCGCGGUAACACCAGCGCCACGAGUGGGGGCCGCUAUUAUUGGGUCUAAAGCGUCCGUAGCCGGUCCGGUAAAUCUUCUGUGAAAUCGUGGGUCUCAAGCUCACGGCGCGCAGGGGACACUGCCGGACUAGAGACCGGGAGGGGUCAGAGGUAUUCCGUGGGGAGCGGUAAAAUGCUAUAAUCCUCGGAGGACCAACUGUGGCGAAGGCGUCUGACUGGAACGGGUCCGACGGUGAGGGACGAAAGCCAGGGGAGCAAUCCGGAUUAGAUACCCGAGUAGUCCUGGCCGUAAACGCUGCGAGCAAGGUGUUGCGCAUCCUAUGAGGAUGCGCAGUGUCGAAAUGAAGAUGGUAAGCUCGCCACCUGGGGAGUACGGUCGCAAGGCUGAAACUUAAAGGAAUUGGCGGGGGCUCACUACAAGGGGUGCGGCGUGCGGUUUAAUUGAACUCAACACCGGGAGUCUCAGCAGCAGCGACGGCAGGAUGAAAGUCAGGUUGAAGGCCUUACUGGACAAGCCGAGAGGUGGUGCAUGGCCGUCGCCAGCUCGUGCCGUGAGGUGUCCUGUUAAGUCAGGCAACGAGCAAGACCUGUACCCACAAUUGCCAGCGGCCCGAUCCGGGGACUGGGCACAUUGUGGGGACUGCCUUCGAAGGGAGGAGGAAGGUGCAGGCAACGGUAGGUCUGUAUGCCCCGAAUCUGCUGGGCUACACGCGCGCAACAAUGGUUGGGACAAUGGGAUACGACUCCGAAAGGAGAAGUUAAACCUCUAAACCCAAUCCAAGUCCAGAUCGAGGGCUGCAACUCGCCCUCGUGACGUCGGAAUCCCUAGUAAUCGGACGUCAUAAGCGUCCGGUGAAUACGUCCCUGAGCCUUGCACACACCGCCCGUCAAACCACCCGAGCAGAGUUCAAGUGAGGCAAACCUUAUUGGGUAUGUCGAACUUGGGCUCAGUGAGGAGGGUUAAGUCGUCACAAGGUA
rnacentral:rRNA from 1 species